AGAGGUCUUCCAUCUGCUGAUUCACUCCCCAAGUGGCCGCAACAGCCCAGAGCUGCGCUGAUCCAAAGCCAGGAGCCAGGAGCUUCUUCCAGGUCUCCCACGUGGCUGCAGGGGCCCAAGGACUUGAGCCAUCUUCUACUACUUUCCCAGGCAAUAGCAGAGAGCUGAUUGUCAGAGGAGGAGCUGGGACCAGAACCAGCACCCAUAUGGGAUGCCAGCGCCACCGGUGGAGGAUUAACAUACUGCACCACUGCACCAGCCCCUACUCUGGACUUUUCAAUUGAGAGGCCUCCUGGUGAAACUGAACUUGGGAGUGGGGUACCUGGAUUCUACUCCCCAACUGGCCUCCUCUAUGAUUUUGUCGAGUCUCCUCCUCUUCAGAGCAAAGGGGAUCGUGAGCCCUGUGAGACCGUGAUCCAUCUGUUUGCCAACCACUGAAUGAAUCCCUAACAUCUGCUAUAGUGCCUGGUGUGUGGUAGGUUCUCAAUAAAUAACUGUUGAAUGAAUGACUACAACGAAUCAAUGAAGUGAUGUACAUAAAGGACUUAGCACAGUGCCGAGGCAGGGAGGAGUGCUCAAUGAAACACAGUAGCAGUUUGCUUAACAUAAGGAUAAUGGUGGCUUCUAGUUGUAAGACUUCAGACAAAUUAUUGAAACUCCUGAGUCUUGCCUUCCUCGCCUGCACUAUGGGUCAAAUAACACCUCUUUCUGGGUAUUGUGAGCAUUGAUGAGAUAAUAUAUGCAGGGUAUUCAGUGACAAGCUUGGCACACAAGGAUACUUACCAAAUGACGGCUAUCACUAGAGAAAAAGUAGAAACUGGAAAAACAGAAGAAUUGGGCAAAUCUCUUAAUUGCUGUUGAAAUGAGAGGAGUUUGCACCUUCCCCUCUCUUACAUAAGGUAGCCAUCCAUUUUUCAGCAAGUCUAGCUAAACAGAUACUAUGUGCUGGGCAUCAUGCCAGCCACUAAGAGCAGCUUAAAAAUUAACCAAUUAAUGAGUAUGAGGUUUUUGGGGGGAGUGAUGAAAAAAAUAUUAAAAGCCAUUGAAUUGUACAAAGUGAA